rnacentral:lncRNA from 1 species
UGAAACACCUUAUUGUAUAAUGCUUAGACACUAGGUUAAUUUUCACAGGCACUGGGCUGUUCAUGAACAGCUCUAAGGAAUGUUGCAGUCACAGGGUCAGAUUAACAUCAAAAAGAGUGAAAGUUACCAAAUUAAUACAGACUCAAAUAAAUCUUUGUCAUUUUUUCUUUUAUGUUUUCAGGUCUAGCACCUGAACGACGUAUCACGAACCUGCAACUAUCAGUGACACUUAGCACUUGCAAUUGCAGGGAAAUACAUUGUAUUUGUUUAAGGAUCCCUGAGUGGGCCAACUGCAGAGCCUGCCUGUUCUGCAGCUGUUCCUUAUUACACAAGCUGACUUGAAGCUAAGUGUAAACAUGAGAAGAACAGAAUAGUGGUACUAUCUUACCUGCUCAUUUGAUUUUCCAAGUUCCACAUAUCAACCCUUGCAGUGAGUAUAAGUCUUUCUAGUACAAAUCUAGCCCAAGAGCAAUCCAAGGUAACACUAGCCCUAAUAAUAGACAUAGCAGGCUGAUGUUAGUCACAGAAGUCAUAAACUAUCAGGCGUCUGCUGUUAUUGACUGUGGUCAUAUUGUAUGCUAAAACCCAUUCAAAAUCUUAAAUAUAAAUCUUUCCAAAUGUACAAAUACAUUAUUGCCGGAAGUAAAGGGAGAGAGGGAGAGGUGAUUAGUUUGUCAUCAAAGUUCUUUAAGAAUAA